CAGUCACUUGUCUCUGAAAAAGUUACUGAUAUCAAGGAUUUGUAUAAGAAUAAGUCAGAAUAAAGUAAAAAAAUUAGGUUUUGAUGAGCUGACAUCAAGACAAAAAGUGUCACUCAUAUUAAACAUAAUAUACCCACACCAUCUAAAGUAAGUUCGUGUUUAUAGUUUAUUUUUUUCGCAAGUAGGACAGGGUUCUCCAAGCACAUUUAUUUUGGCG
rnacentral:lncRNA from 1 species